rnacentral:rRNA from 1 species
UAGGGAAUCUUCGGCAAUGGACGAAAGUCUGACCGAGCAACGCCGCGUGAGUGAAGAAGGUUUUCGGAUCGUAAAACUCCGUUGUUAGAGAAGAGCAAGGACGUUAGUAACUGAACGUCCCCUGACGGUAUCUAACCAGAAAGCCACGGCUAACUACGUGCCAGCAGCCGCGGUAAUACGUAGGUGGCAAGCGUUGUCCGGGUUUAUUGGGCGUAAAGCGAGCGCAGGCGGUUUCUUAAGUCUGAUGUGAAAGCCCCCGGCUCAACCGGGGAGGGUCAUUGGAAACUGGGAGACUUGAGUGCAGAAGAGGAGAGUGGAAUUCCAUGUGUAGCGGUGAAAUGCGUAGAUAUAUGGAGGAACACCAGUGGCGAAGGCGGCUCUCUGGUCUGUAACUGACGCUGAGGCUCGAAAGCGUGGGGAGCAAACAGG